AGGAAUUUAAUUCCUCUAAAGAGCCGUUCGAGACUAGGACGUUGAUAGGCAGGGUGUGUAAGCGUUGUGAGGCGUUGAGCUAACCUGUACUAAUGACUCGUGAGGCUUAACCAUACAACCCAGAUGGGUUUUG
rnacentral:rRNA from 1 species